rnacentral:rRNA from 1 species
UACGUAGGGUGCGAGCGUUAAUCGGAAUUACUGGGCGUAAAGCGUGCGCAGGCGGUUUUGCAAGCCGGAUGUGAAAUCCCCGGGCUUAACCUGGGAAUGGCAUUUGGGACUGCAAGGCUGGAGUGCGGCAGAGGAGACUGGAAUUCCUGGUGUAGCAGUGAAAUGCGUAGAUAUCAGGAGGAACACCGAUGGCGAAGGCGGUUCUCUGGGCCUGUACUGACGCUGAGGAACGAAAGCGUGGGGAGCGAACAGG